rnacentral:rRNA from 1 species
AUUGAACGCUGGCGGCAGGCCUAACACAUGCAAGUCGAGCGGCAGCGGAAAGUAGCUUGCUACUUUGCCGGCGAGCGGCGGACGGGUGAGUAAUGUCUGGGAAACUGCCUGAUGAAGGGGGAUAACUACUGGAAACGGUAGCUAAUACCGCAUAACGUCGCAAGACCAAAGAGGGGGACCUUCGGGCCUCUUGCCAUCAGAUGUGCCCAGAUGGGAUUAGCUAGUAGGUGGGGUAACGGCUCACCUAGGCGACGAUCCCUAGCUGGUCUGAGAGGAUGACCAGCCACACUGGAACUGAGACACGGUCCAGACUCCUACGGGAGGCAGCAGUGGGGAAUAUUGCACAAUGGGCGCAAGCCUGAUGCAGCCAUGCCGCGUGUAUGAAGAAGGCCUUCGGGUUGUAAAGUACUUUCAGCGGGGAGGAAGGCGAUAAGGUUAAUAACCUUGUCGAUUGACGUUACCCGCAGAAGAAGCACCGGCUAACUCCGUGCCAGCCGCCGCAGUAA